CAGAGUUGAAAGACUCCCAAUACCAUCGCGAACGUUACCCUUAAACCGUUGCUUCGGCGGGCGGGUCGCCUUCAAACGCCUCCCCCCCCGGCCCCCUCUUCGCGGGGCGCCCGCCGGAGGUCACACAAACUCUUGAUACCCGUACGGCCUCUCUGAGUAUUCUGUACUGAAUAAGUCA
rnacentral:misc_RNA from 1 species